rnacentral:rRNA from 1 species
AGUCACUGACAUUAGAUACCCGUGUAGUCCCAGCCGUAAACUAUGCGCGUUAGGUGUACUGGUGACCACGAGUCGACCGGGGUGCCGAAGGGAAACCGUGAAACGUGCCGCCUGGGAAGUACGGUCGCAAGGCUGAAACUUAAAGGAAUUGGCGGGGAGCACCACAACGGGUGGAGCCUGCGGUUUAAUUGGAUUCAACGCCGGACAUCUCACUAGGGGCGACAGCAGAAUGAUGGCCAGGUUGAUGACCUUGCUUGACAAGCUG